rnacentral:rRNA from 1 species
AUACGGAGGAUCCGAGCGUUAUCCGGAUUUAUUGGGUUUAAAGGGUGCGCAGGCGGCCAUUUAAGUCAGCGGUUAAAUCGUGGGGCUCAACCCCAUUCUGCCGUUGAUACUGGGUGGCUUGAUUGCGGUCGAGGUUGGCGGAAUUCGUUGUGUAGCGGUGAAAUGCAUAGAUAUGACGAAGAACACCGAUUGCGUAGGCAGCUGACCAGACCGCAAAUGACGCUCAUGCACGAAAGUGCGGGGAUCGAACAGGAUUAGAUACCCUGGUAGUCCGCACAGUAAACGAUGAAUACUUGUUUUCGGCGAUAUAAUGUCGGAGGCAAAGCGAAAGCGAUAAGUAUUCCACCUGGGGAGUACGCCGGCAACGGUGAAACUCAAAUGAAUUGGCGG